UGUGUGUGUGUAUGUGUGCACGCGCGCGUGAUAUAUAUAUAUAUAUAUAUAUACACACACACACACACACACACACACACA